AUUGAACGCUGGCGGCAGGCCUAACACAUGCAAGUCGAACGAGUGGCGGACGGGUUAGUAAUGCCUGGGAAACUGCCCGAUGGAGGGGGAUAACUACUGGAAACGGUAGCUAAUACCGCAUACCCUCGGAUGUGCCCAGAUGGGAUUAGCUAGUAGGUGGGGUAACGGCUCACCUAGGCGACGAUCCAUAGCUGGUCUGAGAGGAUGACCAGCAAAACUGGAACUGAUACACGGUCCAGACUCCUACGGGAGGCAGCAGUGGGGAAUAUUGCACAAUGGGCGCAAGCCUGAUGCAGCCAUGCCGCGUGUAUGAAGAAGGCCUUCGGGUUGUAAAGUACUUUCAGCGAGGAGGCGUUACUCGCAGAAGAAGCACCGGCUAACUCCGUGCCAGCAGCCGCGGUAAUAC
rnacentral:rRNA from 1 species